GCCCGGGUGGCGGAAUUGGUAGACGCGCUGGUCUCAAACACCAGUGGUAGCAAUACCAUGCCGGUUCGAUCCCGGCCCCGGGUACAA
rnacentral:tRNA from 1 species